GACGAGUGGCGAACGGGUGAGUAAUGCAUCGGAACGUGCCCGAUCGUGGGGGAUAACGCAGCGAAAGCUGCGCUAAUACCGCAUACGAUCUGAGGAUGAAAGCGGGGGACCGUAAGGCCUCGCGCGAUCGGAGCGGCCGAUGUCAGAUUAGGUAGUUGGUGGGGUAAAGGCUCACCAAGCCAACGAUCUGUAGCUGGUCUGAGAGGACGACCAGCCACACUGGGACUGAGACACGGCCCAGACUCCUACGGGAGGCAGCAGUGGGGAAUUUUGGACAAUGGGCGAAAGCCUGAUCCAGCAAUGCCGCGUGCAGGAAGAAGGCCUUCGGGUUGUAAACUGCUUUUGUACGGAGCGAAAAAGCUCUCUCUAAUACAGGGGGCUCAUGACGGUACCGUAAGAAUAAGCACCGGCUAACUACGUGCCAGCAGCCGCGGUAAUACGUAGGGUGCAAGCGUUAAUCGGAAUUACUGGGCGUAAAGCGUGCGCAGGCGGUUUUGUAAGACAGGCGUGAAAUCCCCGGGCUCAACCUGGGAAUGGCGCUUGUGACUGCAAGGCUGGAGUGCGGCAGAGGGGGAUGGAAUUCCGCGUGUAGCAGUGAAAUGCGUAGAUAUGCGGAGGAACACCGAUCGCGAAGGCAAUCCCCUGGGCCUGCACUGACGCUCAUGCACGAAAGCGUGGGGAGCAAACAGGAUUAGACACCCUGGUAGUCCACGCCCUAAACGAUGUCAACUGGUUGUUGGGUAUUUACUUACUCAGUAACGAAGCUAACGCGUGAAGUGACCGCC
rnacentral:rRNA from 1 species